GAGAGAGAGAGAGAGAGAGAGAGAGAGAGGGAGAGAGAGAGUGUAGUGUUUGUGUGCAUUAUAACAACAAUCAAAGGAAGAUAGCAUAACUAUGUGUUGACCAUAUAGGAUUAUUUGUUUCCACUGCAUCCAACUAGCAUCUAUUAGGCAUAGAUACAUUUGGACAACGUAGAGAGAGCACUAGGGAGUAAUAUGAAUUGAACUAGGGAGAAGAGAUUAAUGAAUCAACUCUCUCAUAUUACUAAAAUUCUCAUAAAGCUGCACUCAGAAUUAUGUCUUGGUUGAUCCACUUCCCGAUGCACUAAGUGGGACCAAAAAUUAGAAGUUCACCUCAGUAUAUUCUUAGUGUAAUAAACAUCCAACUAGAUACUAACUUAACAAAAUGACUUCAAUGAUGCCUAGAAUUUGCAUGAAAGUAGCAGUAUAGUUAGCGAAGGCAAAUUACUCGAGACCUUCAUUUCAUGAGCAAUCAGUAAACCCUCCAACAUACAUUUGAGAGCUUAAACAAGCUAAGCUACUCAUUAACUAGACAAAUAACAAACAAUAAAACAUGAGAUAUUCAAUGGAUUAAAUACAUAUAAUGGAAUUGAAGUACACCUUUGAGAAUUUUCUUUUUAAAAUUGAUUCAAAACCUUCAGCAACGAGACCCAUAAAAAUAUAAAACAAUUUUCAAAGUUAUGAGCCCCGAAUUUCUGUAUCAUUUUAAACUAAAAACUCUUUUCAUUUCAAGCCAAUCAGUUAGCAAAUAGCUAAUGUUUAGAAGAAUUCCAGAUUCAUAUGGAGAAGAAAGGUCAACCGCUUUCCAAUGCCACAAAUUCUAUCUAGAAAAUUAAAAGAAAGCUGGUGUAGCAACCCUGCAACAACAUAUCUCCUUAAGAUUCGAGCACUGUUCUAGUCAUCAGUGCAUAUACUUAUUAGAAAUCUUAAUGUGUAAUGCAAAAAUAAAUCAAUAGAGGAAUUCCUCACGCAAGCUGCAGAACCAGAUUUCACCUUCAGUGUCCAUAUAUGAGCAAAACUAUGUUUAAGCUUUGGGCUCAUAUGAAUUUGGCUAUAUAGAUGUCAGAAUCACUUAAAACAUGACAAUACAUAUGUAACAACUAUGCUAUCACACAAACUCACUCCACAACACAAAAUGUUAAUCAAGUUUCUAUCUAGCCAAAGGAGGCAAGGAAAAGGAGCUGACUACUACGAGCUUUAACUUUGGACUUUAAUACGAAUUCAGAACAUAAAACAUAAGCUACUCAAACAUGUGCUACUUCACAUUUCUUAAAUUUAAGAAGAAGAGGAAAGGGAUGAGAAGAAAGAAACUAAACAGACUAAAUAUGGAUAUAAAAAUCAAGCUUCAAACAUUAUAUAAAAUUUACUGAUUUUCAGCAAAGAAGAACAACAUCUUCCACAUAGAACAUAUUCAAACUGCAAGGGUAAAACAAUGGUUCAAAUGAGUACCAGGAUAGCAAAACAAAUAGAGAAUUCCAAAAUGAAGUAACAACAGCAACAACUCUUGAAACAGCAGUGAAUAGCCAACUUUAAACAGUUGAACUUAUCAUUUAAACUCGGGAAGAGAAUGAUGCAUUCAGCUUUCAAGAAAGAGAAUCAGAAUAUGAAGACCAAGAUGCAAUGGAACAGUGACUGCCAAAUUUUCUUCUUCUCUCACUAAUUUUUAGGUUAUACUAAUGUAAAUCUAUUCCUUAGCUACUUCUGAACUUUUAAACCUCCAAUCCCCAAAGAAAAUUUCCAGAAUCUAACCCUAAUAGUACAAUCAUUUGCUAUAGUUGUCCAUCCUUUUCCCCCCAAUAUCAAAAUUUUCAUCACAAGGAUAAGGACAACUGUACACAAUCUAGAACAUUAUGAUAUUUAGCCCAUCUAAAAUCCCACUUUUAACCUUCCUAACAUUGAUUAUUUUAAUUUUACCUAUCCUAUCCUAAACUAUCACGGUUUUAUUACCUAAAAGCCUCUCCUGAAAAGCUUUGUAGAAUCUACCAAGCCAAAACAGCCUUGUACCCCUACAAUUAAAUCACAAUCAACCCUUUAAAGUCUCGAAAAAUAAUCUUUCAAACUCCCUUUUAAAACAAACCGCAGUCAAAACUCCCAUUUCAAACAACUGAAAACAAAUCAGAGAAAGAUCAAGCAAAGCCAAUUGAAAGAAACAGAAACAUAAAUCGAACCUUAGUUAACCUACCAAGCGAAAAAAAUCAUAUUGAAUGAUAAGUAAGGCUAAAUCAAUGAUUAAUUAAUAAUAUAGCCAAAACUCUAGUCUAACUUAAGGAUUAACAAACAAAAAAAGGAGCAGAGGAGUUAUUGACUAGUAAUGAAUCUUCAUAGAAAAGGAAGAAGGGUAUACCAACUAGACCUCAGAAUUUAUGAGAACGAUGACGACUUCAAUUCAAACUACGGUGGGCAAGAAUCUUGGCCAAUUGGUGAGAAUUUCAAUAUGAAUACUAGCCAGACUUUCAUCUACCGCUAGUGCUUAAUUUCCCAAUCCUUAACAUAUGACAAGAAAGAGCCGAGGAAGAGGUUUCAAACUGUUUUGGACAAUCAGUGAUUAUUUUCCCGGAAUCCGGCCAAUCUGUGAGACAGGACGAUCUUCAAAUUUAAAUGUCCUUCUUCAAUGAAGAACGGGGGAAUUCGUGUGGGUUUCAUCAUGAAUUGAGGACAAAAUUAAGAAAAUCAGAACGAAGGAAAAAAGUUCGAAUUUUUAUUUCUUAGAUCUUAAAUUCGGAGAAACUGGGUGGCCUUAUGGAGAAAUCAAUGGCAAAAUAUGAAUGGGGAGAUGACAAGGGUUGCAUGGUUAAUAUCUAGAUGGGUUUGGAGGUGCUCCACCGCCGCGAGAUGAUUUCUAGGCGGCGGAGAUACGACGGAGAUAGGCGGAAAUUUUGGAGAAGAGAGAGACCUAGGUUUCUUGUCUCUUUUGUUUAAACGGGUUAAUGAAAAUAGAGGGAAGGUCUGGGUCAUUUGAUGGGGAAAAGGAGUCGAAAUGACAUAGUUUUGAAGUACAACUACGUUAUUUUGGUAAAGGGAGGUUGGACUGGUUUGAAGGAUUGGGCUUGGGUAUGGACUGAUUUGGGAUUAAAAUUGGCCCAAUUUCCAAAUUAAAUCCCUUUCUUUCUUUUAUUCCCUUUUCUAUUCUUUUUAUAUUUUUAAAUUAAAAAUUCUAAAAAUAACAAUCCUAAUUUAUCAAAAAUGUGAAAUUAAACUAAUU
rnacentral:lncRNA from 1 species